rnacentral:rRNA from 1 species
AGCGAACGCUGGCGGCAGGCUUAACACAUGCAAGUCGAGCGGGCAUCUUCGGAUGUCAGCGGCAGACGGGUGAGUAACACGUGGGAACGUACCCUUCGGUUCGGAACAACUCUGGGAAACUGGAGCUAAUACCGGAUACGCCCUUAUGGGGAAAGGUUUACUGCCGAAGGAUCGGCCCGCGUCUGAUUAGCUAGCUGGUGGGGUAACGGCCUACCAAGGCGACGAUCAGUAGCUGGUCUGAGAGGAUGAUCAGCCACACUGGGACUGAGACACGGCCCAGACUCCUACGGGAGGCAGCAGUGGGGAAUAUUGGACAAUGGGCGCAAGCCUGAUCCAGCCAUGCCGCGUGAGUGAUGAAGGCCUUAGGGUUGUAAAGCUCUUUUGUCCGGGACGAUAAUGACGGUACCGGAAGAAUAAGCCCCGGCUAACUUCGUG